CCCUCAGGAGGGGGAUAACGGUUGGAAACGACCGCUUAUACCCCAUAUGCCGAUAGGUGAAACGAAUUUCGCCUGAGGAUGAGCCCGCGUCUGAUUAGCUAGUUGGUAAGGUAAAGGCUCACCAAGGCUUCGAUCAGUAGCUGGUCUGAGAGGAUGAUCAGCCACACUGGGACUGAGACACGGCCCAGACUCCUACGGGAGGCAGCAGUGGGGAAUUUUCCGCAAUGGGGGAAAGCCUGACGGAGCAACGCCGCGUGAGGGACGAAGGCCUCUGGGCUGUAAACCUCUUUUCUCAAGGAAGAAGAUAUGACGGUACUUGAGGAAUAAGCCACGGCUAAUUCCGUGCCAGCAGCCGCGGUAAUACGGGAGUGACAAGCGUUAUCCGGAAUUAUUGGGCGUAAAGCGUCCGCAGGCGGCCUUUCAAGUCUGCUGUUAAAGCGUGGAGCUUAAC
rnacentral:rRNA from 1 species